GUGCUCGCAUUCGGCAGCACAUAUACUAAAUAGAGACGAUACAGAGAACAUUACAUGGCCCUGCGCAAGGAUGACACCAAUUUUGAAGCGUUCCACAUUUCU
rnacentral:snRNA from 1 species